CACCGGUUGCCCGAGUCCAGUUUUCACCUCUCCCGUCAGAUCUCAAGAUUCUCAGUUGUCAUCGGCUGGCAGUCGGACCUCACUUCCACCUCCGUCAAGUCAUCGCUUACCUGCCCGCCCUCCACCGCAGCCUCCUUGCCUAGGAUCCCGCUCGUUUAUGGAAGCCGGAUCCGUUGACUUCAGCCUGGAACCCACAGACUACCUCCCUGAUUGUGAUCAUUCUUUCCCAAACUCCACCCCAGGAUCCCCACCAUAUCACAUUACUUUGCUUCAAUAAAAAGAUCUUUAACUGA